rnacentral:ncRNA from 2 species
AAAAUGGCGGCCGUCUCAGGUGCUGCGUACGGAUUAUCCAAGCGCAGUUAAACGGGAAAGCGGUGCGUCUCCAACGAGACCAUGCCGCUGCUGCCCCCGCAACGGUAAGCAAGUGCGGACGUAUCACAAGGCCACUGGGUGACCACCUGGGAAGGCGAUACGUCAAGACUUGUGAGCCCGGAUACCGGCCUGGAACACCCAUUGGAA